CUACGGGUGGCAGCAGUGAGGAAUGUUGCACAAUGGGGGGAACCCUGAUGCAGCAACGCCGCGUGGAGGAUGACGCAUUUCGGUGUGUAAACUCCUUUUAUAUGUCAAGAAAAUGACGGUAGCAUAUGAAUAAGCACCGGCUAACUCCGUGCCAGCAGCCGCGGUAAUACGGAGGGUGCAAGCGUUACUCGGAAUCACUGGGCGUAAAGGACGCGUAGGCGGGUUGGAAAGUCAGGUGUGAAAUCCUACAGCUUAACUGUAGAACUGCACUUGAAACUUCUAAUCUAGAGUAUGGGAGGGGGAGAUGGAAUUAGUGGUGUAGGGGUAAAGUCCGUAGAUAUCACUAGGAAUACCUAAAGCGAAGGCGAUCUCCUGGAACAUUACUGACGCUAAGGCGUGAAAGCGUGGGGAGCAAACAGGAUUAGAUACCCUCGUAGUC
rnacentral:rRNA from 1 species